AAAAAUUUAGUUAAAAAAUAACAUUAGCUUGUCGAGCUAAAAUUAUUAACUACUAAUAAUUUUUA
rnacentral:tRNA from 1 species